rnacentral:tRNA from 1 species
GAAAGAGUAGCUUAAUAUUAAAGCAUAACACUGAAAAUGUUAAGAUAGCCUCACAACUCUCGUUCAC